CAUUUUAGACCUUAGGUUAAUUGCAAUUUAAGUCCUCAAUUCAUUUCUUAAUUAAAAAUCUCUAGCGAAUAGACUUUACAAUUUAAUCCCUAGGCCCUAAUUAAAUGCAAUUUUGGCUAAAUUACUUAGCCAAAAUUCAAUUCACUUAUAUAAUAACUCCGUAAAUAUUUAAUAAAAUAUUUAUGGGCUUAGUUUACGAAAAUGAGGUCCCGAAACUAAAUUUUUCACCACCACUAACUUUCGGGUUGUUACAAAACAUCUCUCCAAUUGGACUUGAUAGACAAUACAUUAGCCUUUCAAUUGGUUCGCUUAUUUCCUAUUAGACUAAGGACAUCUCUAGAUUUAUCUACUAUAAGUUAUAUUUUCGUAUUACGAUCCAACCACGUUGUAGUAGCCAAUUUUGGGCCAGACAAAUAAACAAAAAAUAUAACAAAACCCACAACAAUAAAAAAGAGUCCAAAAUAAACAGCCCAAUAACAAAUACAGCCCAAACUAUCAAUCUAAUGCAAAAAAUAUCAGCAGAACCCUAGGAACGUUCAGCCACUGCCCCACGCCUCUUCGUCUGCUCACACGCUGCUCCAUCAGUCGCCCUCCACAUGUUGUCUGACAUCUGAAACAAGUACAAUAGCAGAGAAAGAAGCAUGCAAGCGCAGAGAAAUAAAUAGCAGAAAAACUAAAAGGGAAUCGAUUGUAAAUGGCUUUAAAAGCCCGGAUCUACUCUCUUGUAAUUUUUUACGUACAUUUUACAAGCAAAAACUAAUCAAAAAAACAGAAUACUCGUUUUAAAGGUGAUUUUUUUUUGUGUAAAGAUUUCUGUCUCUUUAUCUUGUUUUUACUUUUGUUUCUCUUAGUUAUUUUAUUUUAUUUUAUUUCACUUACGAGAAUAAAAGGGAAAUAAAACUUACCGGAAAACCCUCAUGGUCGGUCGUCGGAGACUUCUUUCUCUAUCGGAGUUGAGCCAAAAAGGGGAGGUUGGGAAGUCCCUUUAUUUUCGGGCACUCGACCGAGGGAUUUGGGACCUUUAAAGGCACCACGAACAGAGGCUAGGUAGCCUAUUUCGCUUGUCGUCGGCCACUAAUUGUAAUGGUGGUGUGACAAACCACUGAGGGCGGCGAUGAGGGGUUCAGGACCCUAGCCGAACGAAAGAGAAAAGGGGGUAGGGAGGCUCAGUUCUUUUAAAAAAUAAGCAGCAGAAAUCUGCCUGCAAAAGGAAGAAACCCUUUUGUUUUCUUUAAAAGGUGAAACGACGCAGUGUAAAAGGGGGGGCCAUUUUCAAAGCCCGAAUGGGCUAUUUGCUACUAAGGUCCCUCUAUUGUCUUGCGUGUUUCAAUCAUCCCUUUUGCAUUUUUCUACAUUUAAAAUUAUCCCCGCAAAUUUGCGUGAUUGUUGCUUUGG
rnacentral:lncRNA from 1 species